GUGCCAGCAGCCGCGGUAAUACGUAGGUGGCAAGCGUUGUCCGGAAUUAUUGGGCGUAAAGCGCGCGCAGGCGGUUCCUUAAGUCUGAUGUGAAAGCCCACGGCUCAACCGUGGAGGGUCAUUGGAAACUGGGGAACUUGAGUACAGAAGAGGAGAGUGGAAUUCCACGUGUAGCGGUGAAAUGCGUAGAUAUGUGGAGGAACACCAGUGGCGAAGGCGACUCUCUGGUCUGUAACUGACGCUGAGGCGCGAAAGCGUGGGGAGCAAACAGGAUUAGAUACCCUGGUAGUCC
rnacentral:rRNA from 1 species